AGGGGUAUAGUUCAGUAGUAAAGUGUGUGCUUAGUAUGUGCAAGAUCCUGGGUUCAAUCCCCAGUGCCUCCA
rnacentral:tRNA from 1 species